GAUGAACGCUGGCGGCGUGCCUAACACAUGCAAGUCGAGCGAUCUCUUCGGAGAGAGCGGCGGACGGGUGAGUAACGCGUGGGUAACCUGCCCUGUACACACGGAUAACAUACCGAAAGGUAUGCUAAUACGGGAUAAUAUAUAAAAGUCGCAUGGCUUUUAUAUCAAAGCUUUUGCGGUACAGGAUGGACCCGCGUCUGAUUAGCUAGUUGGUAAGGUAACGGCUUACCAAGGCGACGAUCAGUAGCCGACCUGAGAGGGUGAUCGGCCACACGGGAACUGAGGCACGGUCCAGACUCCUACGGGAGGCAGCAGUGGGGAAUAUUGCACAAUGGGCGAAAGCCUGAUGCAGCCACGCCGCGUGAGCGAUGAAGGCCUUCGGGUCGUAAAGCUCAGUCCUCAAGGAAGAUUAUGACGGUACUUGAGGAGGAAGCCCCGGCUAACUACGUGCCAGCCGCCGCGGUAA
rnacentral:rRNA from 1 species